rnacentral:lncRNA from 1 species
GGCUGUCCACUGUCCCAAGCCCUCGCAUGUCCUGGAUGGCCGGUCAUCAUCCACACGGGGGCUGAAAGGCCCGGCUCCAGCACUCCUGUGGUCAUCAUCCUGCUGAAUCGCUUUGAACUACCCUUGGCCUAACCGCGACUCCCAUCCCGCUUCCCUCCUGCCUCGCCACUGCAGGCCUGUCCCUUUGCUUUCUUAAAACUGCGCACCGUCUGAGGCCACUUCGAGCCUACUGGAUCCCUGGUUCCAACCCAGUAGGAUCACAGAAGCAGGGCCAGCUGCCAGGCUUCUGCAAAAGACUUGAGACAGCUCACAAUGAAGUACUCUGUAUUAGGCAGGGUAAUAUUGAUUGCAAGUGACAGAAACCCAAUCAGAAACUCACUGGAGUCAUGAGGAACACUUAUUGGCUCAGAGUAAAGGCAAAAUAGACCUUCAGAGAAAUAAAGUCUGGGAAAUUGACUAGAUCCUCACUGAAAGAACUACUAAAGGAUGUACUUAUGGAAGAAGAAAAUUACAAAGUGAAAGAACUGGGAUGCAAGAAGUAAUGGUGAGCAUGGAAUUUGGCAAAGAUUCAAGUAAAACAAAGCAAGGACUGAGUAUAUAAAAUCAUAAUCAUAACAAAUUUUGACUAUUAUAUGUAACAGCCAAUCUCUUAACUGGGUCAUAAUAAGAAAGUGAAAGGCAGAAAAAAUGACAAAAAGAAUAAUUAGAAUGUUAAUAAGAAGAGUAACAAGAUUUUGAAAAAUUUGUGCUGGUUGAUAUCAACUUUUGGCACUUUUCUCUUUUUCUAUACUGUUAACAUAAUUAAUGAAAAAAUAAUAAUUCAUACUUCAAAAAAUUUAAGAAGUUGCACAUAUUUUCAUUUGAAAUAGUAUAAGCAUUUUACAAAUGUUAUUUUAAGCUUUAAAAAGUGAGUAAAAUUAAUAACCAAAUGGUGGAAGCAACCCAAGUAUCCAUCAAUAGAUGAAUGAAUAAACGAAAGGUAGUAUGUUUAUACAAUGGAAUAUUAU